rnacentral:rRNA from 1 species
GUAGUCAUAUGCUUGUCUCAAAGAUUAAGCCAUGCAUGUCUAAGUAUAAGCAAUUAUACAGCGAAACUGCGAAUGGCUCAUUAAGUCAGUUAUCAUUUAUUUGAUAGUACCUUACUACAUGGAUAACCGUGGUAAUUCUAGAGCUAAUACAUGCUAAAAAUCCCGACUUCGGAAGGGAUGUAUUUAUUAGAUUAAAAACCAAUGCCCUUCGGGGCUCUCUGGUGAUUCAUAAUAACUUCUCGAAUCGCACGGCCUUGCGCUGGCGAUGGCUCAUUCAAAGUUCUGCCCUAUCAACUUUCGACGGCUGGGUCUUGGCCAGCCAUGGUGACAACGGGUAACGGGGAAUA